GAAAGAAAGGAAAAACUAGAACAAACGCUGGAUAAGAGAAUUUCAAGAAAAAUUGUGGAAAUUUCAAGGAAUCAAGCAAGAUAAGGUGGUGAGCUAUUUGAUAAGGAUAAAAAGAUUACACCAAAGACCGGGACUAGGAGUAUUUCUACUCCUGAUACUGCUGGAUAGUAUUAUAUUAGUCAUGUCAUGCUAUCAAAAUUUUGUUGUAUGGUGGAUUUAACCUGCUGCAGGGGGCGGGUUUUCUGUGGACCAGCCUAUUAGAGGGGCACGAAAUCCCGAUAUAUUUUACCUUGGUUGGAGAGGCGAG